rnacentral:rRNA from 1 species
GACGAACGCUGGCGGCGUGCUUAACACAUGCAAGUCGAACGGAAAGGCCCUGCUUUUGUGGGGUGCUCGAGUGGCGAACGGGUGAGUAACACGUGAGUAACCUGCCCUUGACUUUGGGAUAACUUCAGGAAACUGGGGCUAAUACCGGAUAGGAGCUCCUGCUGCAUGGUGGGGGUUGGAAAGUUUCGGCGUUGGGGAUGGACUUGCGGCUUAUCAGCUUGUUGGUGGGGUAGUGGCUUACCAAGGCUUUGACGGGUAGCCGGCCUGAGAGGGUGACCGGCCACAUUGGGACUGAGAUACGGCCCAGACUCCUACGGGAGGCAGCAGUGGGGAAUAUUGCACAAUGGGCGGAAGCCUGAUGCAGCAACGCCGCGUGCGGGAUGACGGCCUUCGGGUUGUAAACCGCUUUCGCCUGUGACGAAGCGUGAGUGACGGUAAUGGGUAAAGAAGCACCGGCUAACUACGUG